CUCUAAGGUCCCAGAAUAGAAAUGCCUCGCGCCUCUAAGGUCACAGAAUAGAAAUGCAUCGGCCUCUAAGGUCACAGAAUAGAAAUGCAUCGGCCUCUUAAGGUCACAGAAUAGAAAUGCUCGGCCUCUAAGGUCACAGAAUAGAAAUGCAUCGGCCUCUAAGGUCACAGAAUAGAAAUGCAUCGGCCUCUUAAGGUCACAGAA